rnacentral:misc_RNA from 1 species
CAAUUGCCCCGCACCUCAAUCAAGAAAGCGCGGUCUGAAAUCAGACCGCCUUGCUGCCGACGUCGGUCCGCUGCGAUGUGGAUGCAGAAGGCGCGCUGUCGAUGGUCUUGACCGGCUCCGGGCUCUUCUCAUCAUCGGCCAUGCCCUUCUUGAAGGCCUUGAUGCCCUGCGCGACGUCGCCCAUCAGGUCCGAAAUCUUGCCGCGGCCGAACAGCAGCAAAACAACGGCGAUCACGACGAUCCAGUGCCAGAUACUCAACGAACCCAUACUGCCAU